rnacentral:rRNA from 1 species
AAAAAGUCGGGGAUGAACUGUGGUAAGGGGUGAAAGGCCAAUCAAACUGGGAAAUAGCUGGUUCUCCGCGAAAUAUAUUUAGGUAUAGCGUUGCACGAAUACCCCGGGGGGUAGAGCACUGGAUGGGCUAGGGGGUCCCAAAGACCUACCAAACCUAACCAAACUCCGAAUACCCGGGAGUACUAUGCAGCAGUCAGACAGUGGUUGCUAACGUUCAUUGUCGAGAGGGAAACAACCCAGACCAACAGCUAAGGCCCCUAAGUGGUGGUUAAGUUGGAAAGGAUGUGGAACGACCAUAACAGCCAGGAGGUUGGCUUGGAAGCAGCCAUCCUUUAAAGAAAGCGUAACAGCUCACUGGUCUAAUAGUUAUUCUGCGCCUAAAAUGUAACGGGGAUUAAACCACCCGCCGAAGCUUUGGACUUAUCUAUAAUUUCGAUUAAAGUAAGUGGUAGCGGAGCGUUCCGUAAGCCUGUGAAGCUAGUCCGACAAGGAAUAGUGGAGGUAUCGGAAGUGAGAAUGCUGACAUGAGUAACGACCAAAAGUGUGAGAAACACUUUCGCCGAAUGACCAAGGGUUCCUGCGUCAAGUUAAUCUGAGCAGGGUUAGCCGGUCCCUAAGACGAGGCUGAAAAGCGUAGUCGAUGGAAACCACGUUAAUAUUCGUGGGCCUGUGGGUAGUGACGGAUCCGAAUCUUUGUUUCCUCUUAUUGGAAUGAGGAGGCGGGGAGGAGGGUUCCAGGAAAUAGCUCCCACAUUAUAGUCCGUACCCGAAACCGACACAGGUGGUCAGGUAGAGUAUACCAAGGCGCUUGAGAGAACGAUGCUGAAGGAACUAGGCAACUUGCAUGCGUAACUUCGGGAGAAGCAUGCCCCCACUAUGCGCAAGCACUGUGGGGGGACACAAACCAGGGGGUUGCGACUGUUUAUUAAAAACACAGGGCUGUGCAAAGGCGAUAAGCCGAUGUAUACGGUCUGACGCCUGCCCGGUGCUGGAAGGUUAAAGGGAGAUGUGCAAGCAUUGAACUGAAGCCCCAGUAAACGGCGGCCGUAACUAUAACGGUCCUAAGGUAGCGAAAUUCCUUGUCGGGUAAGUUCCGACCCGCACGAAUGGCGUAACGACAUCCCCGGUGUCUCCAGCAUCGACUCAGUGAAAUUGAAUUCUCCGUGAAGAUGCGGAGUUCCCGCGGUUAGACGGAAAGACCCCGUGCACCUUUACUGUAGCUUUGCACUGGCAUUAGGAAAUAAUUGUGUC